rnacentral:rRNA from 1 species
GACGAACGCUGGCGGCGUGCUUAACACAUGCAAGUCGAACGAAGAGCGAUGGAAGCUUGCUUCUAUCAAUCUUAGUGGCGAACGGGUGAGUAACGCGUAAUCAACCUGCCCUUCAGAGGGGGACAACAGUUGGAAACGACUGCUAAUACCGCAUACGAUCUAAUCUCGGCAUCGAGGAUAGAUGAAAGGUGGCCUCUACAUGUAAGCUAUCACUGAAGGAGGGGAUUGCGUCUGAUUAGCUAGUUGGAGGGGUAACGGCCCACCAAGGCGAUGAUCAGUAGCCGGUCUGAGAGGAUGAACGGCCACAUUGGGACUGAGACACGGCCCAGACUCCUACGGGAGGCAGCAGUGGGGAAUCUUCCGCAAUGGACGAAAGUCUGACGGAGCAACGCCGCGUGAGUGAUGACGGCCUUCGGGUUGUAAAGCUCUGUUAAUCGGGACGAAAGGCCUUCUUGCGAAUAGUGAGAAGGAUUGACGGUACCGGAAUAGAAAGCCACGGCUAACUACG